rnacentral:lncRNA from 1 species
AAUGUUAGGAAAUUACGCAGAUUUCCCUAUAAACCAGAUUAGUGAGAAUGCGAAAUAACAGAAGAAAUAAGACACACAAAUUUGAUAACGGAGUUCAGCCAAUUGUGCCUACGUCUCCGGACCUGCUGCAGAUCAUUUUACUAAAGGGAGAAAAUAUACAAAGUGUUUACAACACUCACAACUCACAACCCACCCCGAAUUAUACUAAGAAUUUUUCUCACAAAAUUCUUUCACAAGCUUUGCUCUUAAGCUUUUCUCUCAAACUCUCUCUAAUUCUUUCAAUUCUGGGAUACAUUUCAAAUGAGAGUUGUGGGGAUUUAUAUAGGCUUCAAAAGAACAUAGGUUGCCUAAGUUAGGCACCCCUUAUUUUGACCAAAGAUUGCGUAAGUUAGGUACCCCCAUUUUUGACCAAAGAAUGCAUAAGUUAGGCACCCCCUUAUUUUGACCAAAGAAUGGUUGGUGCCUAUUUCUUUGACAAUCUCCCACUUGAAGACUGAUUUCAAUCUGUCUUCACACCUCAAAAUAUGCAGCAGAUCCUUUCGAUCUUGUUACUCUUGUAGGCCAACUGAAGUUGAACACAACUUCAGUUUGUCGAUAGUCACCGUCUUUGUCAACAUAUCAGCUGGAUUCUUGCUUCCUUGGAUCUUCUCC